CAGGUGCCACUUGUUGUUGUCCAUUGAUUCGCCGGGGAUUAUUGCUUGUCUUUGUUGAACUUGAAUUUCAUUUGACAUGCAGUGAGGUAGGAGUUAUCGAGUUUCACACGCGGGAGGCAGCUUCUCUACGUUCUACUACACGAGCGGGGCCCAUCCUCACGUAAAUGGAGAAGCACCAUUUCUUUCUUUUGCUAAAUUUCCACCUAUAUGAAUGGUGUGGCCCAUCCCUGGCAAGCUUGGAUUCCACUGGAUAUGCUUUUAUAAAGAUUAUUGACCAUGGAGGUAAUUUAUAGCACUGUAUUAUUAUGAAUAGAAAUCAGCAAAUAUGUACCAUGACAGUCCAAAUUCCAUUGAUUGCGCUUUCAAGGAUAAUAGUACCCCAUUGCAAAAUAUUCUAGCUUACUGUUUUUUUUGAACCGGGCAUAACCCCUUUCCAUUAACCAAAUAACGGAAAUACAUCAGUCCAAAUCAGACAGAAAGGAUGCGGGGACAGGGAAAGCGAGUCCAAGGCAUUGUCGGGAAACCUACUGUAGGUGCUCGUCAUCGAGACACCCACUGCAGGGCGAAAACCCAACGACACCACCAACUGUCCUAUAACCAGUUUUAAAAGCUCACGCAGGAGCAAAAUAGUCAUUACUCUCGCAGGAGUAGGUCAUGCAGAUCACGGAAUAGAGCAGUCAUAAGGAAGAAACAUAGGAACUCAAAAGAGACGGUAACCAGUGCUUCUCAAAUCGCACCCGAACUCCUCAAGCGCUUAAGCUGAGGAUGACGUUUUCCCUAUGCAGCUGCGCAAAUUCUCAUCAUGUUCCUCGCGUUGUCUUUCAGCACUGCAACACAAUAUUGUAGAUUUGUCGUUUCCUUUGUAUAGUGCUACAUUUUAUUUGGAAUGUUGUAGAGCACACUAACCCUUGUUACGAAUAGUGAUGAGGAGCUGUCUGCUGUUCUCUUAAGCUCUUUGCUGGGUGAAAAGAGAAUGGUGUUGGGACGUUUGGUGGAGCUGAGUGGCAAAGAAGAAUCGGGGCCAAACAAUCCAUAUCCAGCGAAAGGGUUGAAGAAAGAGGAACAAACAGAGGGUCACGUUGCUUGAACACUAGGCUCCUGUGGACCGAUACCUCCGUUGUUACCUCUCCAGUGAGAUAUGCGAGCGAAGUAUUGACGCGCUUCGGUUUUGACUGGUACAAGAGAAGAGGGAUGAUAUUACCAACGAGGUAUGCCAUUCCAUUCAUAUUUAUUCAAUUAAUUGGAACUUGAGUGAUGUAUUGUGCUAUUACAUUUAUAACAAGCUGCAUACUAGAACUUGCAAGAUGAAUGGAUGCUGCAUGGGAGAGAAGGAAAGAGUAUGAAUGCCACAUGGGCAACGGAACCGGCAAAAUCAGGGUACGGAUGCGCCACUGAAUUGCUGAUACUUUGCUGCUACACUAUGUUAGCAUGCAUGUAUGGUGUCUUUACGCCGCACCUUUUAGCCCCUUCAGGAGUAAGGCUGCAGUGAGUACCUCUCAUUGUCUUACCUACAUAACUAUGGUCCGGUACGUGUAUUAAGCAUAUCAGAGAACUGCAGGACCACAUUAAAUGCACAUUUUGGUGUAACAGAGUUUAUUUGGUAUCGUGUUAGUACUCUUACGUUAGUUCAUGCAUGGCACUUUGAAAACCCUAUUCAAAGUGGCUGUGGAAUUGAAAAUUACUGCUGUGCUGUGCUAUUGUCAAAAUGUUUAUUUUGGAAACACACUUGGAAAUAUCACCCAUGGGCAAUUGCUUA